GUCGCGUCACAGGGCUGGGUCCUGAGCUGGGGUCUCCUGAUAGGGUUCUUUAUCCUGUUCCCUUGCCUUCACCGCCACUGGUCCAGCGUUGACGAGCAGGACGAGGUCUGUGGCCUCAGUAUGCACUCCUUCCAGGCGUGAUGGGCAGAGACGGGCUGGCUCCCAGGUGGACCCCUAGAGGUGAAUGAGUCCCUCAGGCUCUAGUCCCCAGGGAACAUCUCGAGGGGGUCUGUAAGAAAACCCUGAAUAUCUGUGGGGUGACCCUCUCCAAGGGAACACUGCUGAUGACCCCCAUCUGAGUUCUGGUCCCCGAUCACAAGACCAGAACCUGAGGAGUUGAAUUCUGAAAGGCGCCAGGAUUGCUGCCUGCCAAGUGGACGCUGCAAGAGGUCUCAGUCACUGGAAACGGGCCUUUUCAGUUUGGAUGGACUCCACCAGUUGCCCCCACAAUCCUCGUCCCAGCGCUCCGCUAGGACAGCCUGCCUCGGUUCUUUCCCAGCACUCUGAGUUCUUCAGUGUGCCAUUCCUGCAAACCCGGGGAAGGAGCAGCACUGAAUUCUUGUGUUCAUCUGCAUCUCCCUGGCCAGCAAGCACACAGUUGUUUGUAGGUGGGACUAAGGCAGGGGUUCUCAACCAGGGGUGAUGGGACGCCCUCCAGCAUCAACGUAGCCAAGUCUGCAGACUUUUCUGGUUGUCAGGCUGGGUGAGCGGGGCUUCUGGCCUCUAGAGUGUGGAGACCUGGGAUGCAGCUGACCAUCUGGCAGUGCACGGAACACCCCCCAACAAAGAAGCUCCAUGGUGCAAAGUGGAGAAACCUGGAGAAGAGAAACACACAGUCUAAAAGCUACCCCUGUAACUGAGGGCGCCCUGGAAGAGCACACGUGGUUUUUAUGGAAAACAGUGAUGAUGAGACAUUUCUCAGCAAAGCUUAUCUCUGUACACGAGUUGUGAGAGCUGCCCUGUUGAAUGAUGUCCACAAAGGCGGUGAGGACUUCCUGUCCACGGCGAUUAGCGACACGAUUGCCCGCGUGUCGUUCUCCAUCUCCAGCCUCAGCAGUAAGAACCCGGUCAGUGGGAUUUGCAGCCCGCAGCCCCUCACUGACCACAACGCCCUUCUGUCAGCUGCUGUCCCUCUCCCGUCCACGCUGUGCUGGGCACAUUUCCCACCUGAACAGUCCCAGGCAUUCCUUCGCUUUGUGUGCCUUGCCUUUAUUUCACAAAGUCUGGGGAGAUGCUAUAAGAUGGUGAAUAGAAAGGGUCUGAGAUGA
rnacentral:lncRNA from 1 species